rnacentral:rRNA from 1 species
AACGAACGCUGGCGGCGUGGAUAAGACAUGCAAGUCGAACGGGGCUUGGUAGCAAUACUGAGUUCAGUGGCGGACGGGUGCGUAACACGUGAACAAUCUGCCCGGAAGAGGGGGAUAGCCCAGGGAAACUUGGAUUAAUACCCCGUGUGGUACAGGUGGGCAUCCAUCUGACACCAAAGGUGCUGCAAGGUGCCGCUUCCGGAUGAGUUCGCGCCCUAUCAGCUUGUUGGCGGGGUAACGGCCCACCAAGGCGAUGACGGGUAGCUGGUCUGAGAGGAUGACCAGCCACACUGGAACUGAGACACGGUCCAGACACCUACGGGUGCAGCAGUCGAGAAUCAUUCACAAUGGGCGAAAGCCUGAUGGUGUGACGCCGCGUGGAGGAUGAAGGUCUUCGGAUUGUAAACUCCUGUCAAGUGAGAGU